UGAAGAGUUUGAUCAUGGCUCAGAUUGAACGCUGGCGGCAGGCUUAACACAUGCAAGUCGAGCGGUAACAGGGGGUGCUUGCACCCCGCUGACGAGCGGCGGACGGGUGAGUAAUGCAUAGGAAACUGCCCAGUAGUGGGGGAUAGCCCGGGGAAACCCGGAUUAAUACCGCGUACGCCCUUCGGGGGAAAGCAGGGGAUCUUCGGACCUUGCGCUAUUGGAUGUGCCUAUGUCGGAUUAGCUAGUUGGUGGGGUAAAGGCCUACCAAGGCGACGAUCCGUAGCUGGUCUGAGAGGAUGAUCAGCCACAUCGGGACUGAGACACGGCCCGAACUCCUACGGGAGGCAGCAGUGGGGAAUAUUGGACAAUGGGGGCAACCCUGAUCCAGCCAUGCCGCGUGUGUGAAGAAGGCUUUCGGGUUGUAAAGCACUUUCAGUGAGGAGGAAAACUCUGCGACUAAUACUCGUAGGGCUUGACGUUACUCACAGAAGAAGCACCGGCUAACUCCGUGCCAGCAGCCGCGGUAAUACGGAGGGUGCAAGCGUUAAUCGGAAUUACUGGGCGUAAAGCGCACGUAGGCGG
rnacentral:rRNA from 1 species